GGGGCUAUAGCUCAGCUGGGAGAGCGCUUCAUUCGCAUUGAAGAGGUCAGCGGUUCGAUCCCGCUUAGCUCCACCA
rnacentral:tRNA from 1 species